GUGGGGAAUUUUGGACAAUGGGCGCAAGCCUGAUCCAGCAAUGCCGCGUGCAGGAAGACGGCCCUCCGGGUUGUAAACUGCUUUUGUACGGGAAUAAACCUCGCUACGUGUAGCGAGCUGAAUGUACCGUAAGAAUAAGGAUCGGCUAACUCCGUGCCAGCAGCCGCGGUAAUACGGAGGAUCCAAGCGUUAUCCGGAUUUAUUGGGUUUAAAGGGUGCGUAGGCGUCCUGUUAAGUCAGGGGUGAAAGACGGUGGCUCAACCAUCGCAGUGCCCUUGAUACUGAUGGGCUUGAAUAGACUAGAGGUAGGCGGAAUGUGACAAGUAGCGGUGAAAUGCAUAGAUAUGUCACAGAACACCGAUUGCGAAGGCAGCUUACUAUGGUCUGAUUGACGCUGAGGCACGAAAGCGUGGGGAUCGAACAGGAUUAGAUACCCCGGUAGUCC
rnacentral:rRNA from 1 species